rnacentral:misc_RNA from 1 species
GAUGAAGAACGUAGCGAAAUGCGAUAAGUAGUGUGAAUUGCAGAAUUCAGUGAAUCAUCGAAUCUUUGAACGCACAUUGCGCCCCUUGGUAUUCCAUGGGGCAUGCCUGUUCGAGCGACAUCUACACCCUCAAGCUCUGCUUGGUGUUGGGCGUCUGUCCCGCCCCCGCGCGUGGACUCGCCCCAAAUCCAUUGGCAGCGUUCCUUGCCCCCUCUCGCGCAGCACAUUGCGCUUCUCGAGGGCGGCUCCGGGACGCGAUCCAGCAAGAUGACCACCGUCUUUGACCUCGGAUCAGGUAGGGAUACCCGCUGAACUUAAGCAUAUCAAUAGCGGAGGA